rnacentral:rRNA from 1 species
GACGAACGCUGGCGGCGUGCUUAACACAUGCAAGUCGAACGGAAAGGCCCUGCUUUUGUGGGGUGCUCGAGUGGCGAACGGGUGAGUAACACGUGAGUAACCUGCCCUUGACUUUGGGAUAACUUCAGGAAACUGGGGCUAAUACCGGAUAGGAGCUCCUGCUGCAUGGUGGGGGUUGGAAAGUUUCGGCGGUUGGGGAUGGACUCGCGGCUUAUCAGCUUGUUGGUGGGGUAGUGGCUUACCAAGGCUUGGACGGGUAGCCGGCCUGAGAGGGUGACCGGCCACAUUGGGACUGGGAUACGGCCCAGACGCCUACGGGAGGCAGCAGUGGGGAAUAUUGCACAAUGGGCGGAGGCCGGAUGCAGCAACGCCGCGUGCGGGAUGACGGCCUUCGGGUUGUAAACCGCUUUCGCCUGUGACGAAGCGUGAGUGACGGAAAUGGGUAAAGAAGCACCGGCUAACUACGU